rnacentral:rRNA from 1 species
UACGUAGGGUGCAAGCGUUAAUCGGAAUUACUGGGCGUAAAGCGUGCGCAGGCGGCUUUGCAAGACAGAUGUGAAAUCCCCGGGCUCAACCUGGGAACUGCAUUUGUGACUGCAAGGCUAGAGUACGGUAGAGGGGGAUGGAAUCCGCGUGUAGCAGUGAAAUGCGUAGAUAUGCGGAGGAACACCGAUGGCGAAGGCAAUCCCCUGGACCUGUACUGACGCUCAUGCACGAA